rnacentral:rRNA from 1 species
CGCAACNNNGNGAAUAAGCGGAGGAAAAGAAACCAACAGGGAUUGCCCCCAGUAACGGCGAGUGAAGCGGCAAAAGCUCAAAUUUGAAAUCUGGCUCUCUAUGGGAGUCCGAGUUGUAAUUUGCAGAGGGCGCUUUGGCGUCGGCAGCGGUCCAAGUUCCUUGGAACAGGACGUCACAGAGGGUGAGAAUCCCGUACGUGGUCGCCUGCCUUCGCCGUGUAAAGCCCCUUCGACGAGUCGAGUUGUUUGGGAAUGCAGCUCUAAAUGGGAGGUAAAUUUCUCCUAAAGCUAAAUACUGGCCAGAGACCGAUAGCGCACAAGUAGAGUGAUCGAAAGAUGAAAAGCACUUUGGAAAGAGAGUCAAAUAGCACGUGAAAUUGUUGAAAGGGAAGCGCUUGCAGCCAGACGUGCCCGCGGUUGUUCUCUUCCGUGGGCAGGCCAGCAUCAGUUUGGGCGGUCGGAUAAAGGCCUCUGUCACGUAUCUCCCUUCGGGGAGACCUUAUAGGGGAGGCGUAAUGCGAUCAGCCCGGACUGAGGUCCGCGCAUCUGCUAGGAUGCUGGCGUAAUGGCUGUAAGCGGCCCGUCUUGAAACACGGACCAAGGAGUCUAACAUCUAUGCGAGUGUUUGGGUGUCAAGCCCGAGCGCGCAAUGAAAGUGAACGGAGGUGGGAACCCUCUUGGGGGUGCACCAUCGACCGAUCCUGAAGUCUUCGGAUGGAUUUGAGUAAGAGCAUGGCUGUUGGGACCCGAAAGAUGGUGAACUAUGCUUGAAUAGGGUGAAGCCAGAGGAAACUCUGGUGGAGGCUCGCAGCGGUUCUGACGUGCAAAUCGAUCGUCAAAUUUGGGCAUAGGGGCGAAAGACUAAUCGAACUAUCUAGUAGCUGGUUCCUGCCGAGUCUCCCCCCUCAGAAAAAACAAAC